GUGCUCAUUUUGGCAGCGCAUAAUACUCGUAUGGAACAAUACAGAGAGUAUUAACAUGCCUCCUGCUCAAAGAUGACACACACAUUUAUAAAAUGUCCCCCAUGAAG
ensembl:snRNA U6 U6 spliceosomal RNA